CCAUUGACCUUUGCUGUGACCUCAUAGACCUGUGCUCUGACCUUGAGGCCUGGACUCAUGUUGCUGGACCAUUAUCCCGGGGGACUUGUUCUGUACAAUGGUUAGGUUGGUAGUACCGUUUACAUUAACCUCCACAUGAUGCCACGACACAUGGUCUCAAGCAGAACAUUUCCCAUCACACUGUCCCCGUCGGCCGGUCUUCUUCCCAUAGUGCCAUCUCUUCCCCAGAUUUAUCCACAAGCUCUGACCCUAACACAGACACCACUGACCCUACAAUAUCCCAAUUGAAAUACCCCAAUCUGCAAAGCUGACCCUAAUGCAAAAAACAGGAGGGCUUUAGGACCCAGAGACGAAAACCAAGGCUGAGGAAUAGUGAACUAAGCAGCAAGUGCAACAGGAUUAGACCGGGAGAAACAAGAGCAACUACAAGAUACAGAAACAAGAACUGCAUGUAAAAGACCCAAUGACUAGGAACAAGACAAGGCUGGAACAGGGUACUAGAGAUGUACAAGACAUGCUGGAUUUCAGCUCUGCAGGCUUCAUCUAUAAUAUGCAGUUUCCCCAGAGCAGGUGCGAAGAGCUCCCCUCACAUUUUCCACCUCAGUGGCACCAUAUGAUCUGCCCAUUGGACACAAUAAAUGAACAGUCACCGCCAUAGGUUUAUGUCUCAGAAGCUUUUUACCAGUGAAGACAAAGUGAAGGCGAAGUGAAAUCAUCCUUCCUCCCUUUGAGAUCCUUCAGUUAAAAGAGAAAAGACACAAUGCAGCAAGGAAACCAUCAGUGGCCUCAUAAGUGAUCCUGGUCUGAUCUAUGAAAUCAACAAAUCAACACACAAU